rnacentral:rRNA from 1 species
UACGGGGGGGGCAAGCGUUGUUCGGAAUUACUGGGCGUAAAGCGAGCGUAGUCGGUUAUUUAAGUCGGAUGUGAAAUCCCCGGGCUCAACCUGGGAAUUGCAUUCGAUACUGGAUAGCUAGAGUUCGGCAGAGGGAAGCGGAAUUUCUGGUGUAGCGGUGAAAUGCGUAGAUAUCAGAAGGAACAUCAGUGGCGAAAGCGGCUUCCUGGACCAGAACUGACGAUCAGGCUCGAAAGCGUGGGGAGCAAACAGG